GCAGAUUAAGUUUCUCAGGCGAAACCUCCCGUCCUUCCGCCCUCCGCCCUCCCUUCUUCCACCGACGUCCUCCCCAACCAGGGAGAAACCUUCCCCAGAUCCUGCUGCUGCAGCCCCACUUCGUCAGCUCCGGCGGGGAAAGUCCAGGCCGUCUUUCAGGGCUCCAGUUGAGGGACUUUCUCCCCGCCCUCCUAACCUCUUCGCUCCCCCAGAACAACCCGCCGUCUCAGUUCUCCUUCCUCGUCUCAGCCUAUUUCCCCAAACGACGCCGAGAGAUCGACGCCGCUGAAACGCACCGGGAAGGGAAUUCAGGUAACUAGCAACUGGGCCCUUGGGGAGACGCAGGGAAAGGGCGGGGAGCCCUCGUCCUGUUGGCACGCGUUUACACGAAAGCGGUGUCGGCAGACCACUAGGACCAGACCAGGCACUUGACUCCCUCCCUCGGCCCCUCUGGAGCUCUGCGCAGCCCCCUCCCGCAGCGCCACCGAGCCCUGGAGAGGCCGAAAGGGCCUGGCCUUGAGCAUAUUUGGCAGCCAAGGAAGGGAGUAGUCCCUGGGGCUCGGCGUUUCUCUGUGAUCUCCUGCUCCGGAGCGAGGGCCUCUUCCCGCACAAGGCUAGGAGAGGGGGCGGGUGGUUAGGAGCACUCAGUUAUCCCAGGAAAGGCGCGCGCACGGACCCGGACACACACACACACACACACACACACACACACACACACACACACACACACGGCUCUUUAACCUGCAGGUUCUUGAGAUAGGCAGGCAGUAGAGCUGGUAAUCUGGAUUGAAUGCGGGGCCCGAUCCCUCAUUCCACACCCUGAAAAACUGAGGUGUCGACACCAGCAGUCCGGAUAGAUCGGUUUCUCCGCCUCUGCUGUUGCGCCCUCGACGAGCUCCAACAAUAAUUAAGCCGAAUAUUUAUUUAGUUAUGACUCGGUUUUGUUUUACGGCAGGAUCCGCCUCCCAAUUUAAAAAGCGUCUUAAAUCGCUGUCUAGCACAAUCCUAUGUUUGUUCAGAAGUCCUGCUGCCUUCACUGAGGCUUGCUCCCAAGUAAAGUAUUCAUAGGAUUGCAGCCCUUAGUACCUUCCGGACCCACGCAGCUUCACUUCCAAGUUAGCAAAAGUUAGUGACCGGGUUGUAAAUUGAUUUUUGCUUGGAUUGCUAAACUGGCCCAAGGAUGUAGUCCUCAGGAUAUUAGGGUUUACUCGCGUGGUUCAAGGACCACUUAGAAGAUGCAGACGGUGAGUGUGGGGAGUCAGACUUAUAAAGUGGGAGGAUCCUGGCUAUGGCUGAUUACUCUCAAGUAAAUCCCACUGAUUUAAACGGGAUUGUCUUCUAAAUUGGCAUGCUUAGGUUUUCUGAGCAAUCAACGCCAAUGAGAGGCGCUUAAACCGGGUUUGGGAUCAGAAAGCUGCGGGGUACGUGUGUUCACGCAACCCUGUGUGUCAUAUACACGCCGUAUCUUGAUACCCAGAUCAUACAUGUUUACUUCGAAGACAGUGUUUUGGAAGAGUCCACCCCUGAGAAAGUAAAGGACUAGGGUUAUAAUUCUGAUGAGCAAUCAGAUUCAUUCAGAGUGACACAGGUUUUGCUGUUGAUUUUACUGGGAAACAGAUUUUACUGAUGAAACCCUAUUGAACUUUUCUUCCUUUUAAAUAGAGGUGCCAGUCUCUCAGGAUCUCUUCAGUUUUAAAGCUGGCACUUUGUUGUUUGGAAUAAGUAAAAGGAAAAGUUCCAUUUAUUUAUUUAUUUAAGAAAUGCCCUUAGCAAUAUGCGUUGCAAUCCAGCUCCACUAAAAUGAAUGGAGGUUUUGCCACUCUUUCCAAGUGGCGGUUUUAUAUAUAUGCUUGCACCCCGAUCGUCGGAACAUUUUAUCUGGAUGGAAAAUCCAAUGGAUGGUCAUUCCUUGGUUCCUGGUUCCCUGCAACGUCAUCCUUUUGUAUCGCGUUAGUUCCCACUAUGUUCAAUGAGGCUUAUUUGAGCCUGGAUUUGUCCCGUUCCCCUCCCCCCCCCCACUUAAGCCCAUUUCCUAAGCAUAAAGGUCUAGCCAGUGCGACUUACUUUUGGGUAAUUUCAGGAUCACCCUAUUAAUCGCAUCUUUGGUGGGGAGUUGUUAUCAGUCUCUUACCGUUCCAAUACGGGAGCUUUUUAAUUCCUGGUUUCUAGAUACUCUUUUUAAUGUGGGGGAAAUGGAAAGAGCCGGUGAGGAAGCUUCUUAGGGUUUACACUGCAGGAUCGCCCAGGCGUUUUCGUUCGUGCUCUCUUUCAAGGGAGCGGUCGCCACCACUUGGUCCCUCGGCUCUUAAACGGGAGUGAUCUGGAAACAAAGCGUCUUGGCUCCUUCACAUGAGGGUUGAUCCAAGCAUGGCGAGGUCCCGAUGGACAGAUGCACCGCUUUGUUUCUUCUCUAUGAUCGCAUGAACGUGAAACAAAAUAAAUCGGAAUAGCCCAGUGCCAAUCACCGGCCGGUGUCAUGGCUUGAUUUUAGCGACGGAAGGGAUCCAAUCUUCAAAAAGAUGUGGCUUGUUUUAUCACUUGUCAUUGUUCCUGUAGGUAAAAUACGGCCAAGGACGCCACAAAAAAUGCCUUCCUUUGUUCAUAAAACCGUGUUUAAUAUUAGUACAUAUAAAAAUAAAAAAUUGUCCAGUAGCACCUUAUAGACUUUGUUUCUUCUGGUAUAAUCUUUGAUGUGCAUGCACACUUCUUCAGAUACAUGCAUACGAAAGCUUAUACCAGAACAAACUUAGUUGGUCUAUAAGAUGCUACUGGACAUUUUUUUUAUUAUUAUUAUUUUCGACUGCGUCAGACCAACACAACCACCUACCUGAAAUCUAGAAUCAUUACAUAUAAUUACAGCCCAAACUACAAACCGGCCCAGUGAGAUGUUCUUGGAUCAGGUUCGUGGCUUUAAUGGGGACUGAAUUCAGCUCAGAUCCAAGCAGGAUCCCACUGAUUCCCCUAGAUUGUGGACUGUGCAGGAGAUCCACAACGCAGGUUAUCUGGCUGGAUCCGAAAGCCGGUGGGUCUUGAAGCAUCUAUUAGGCUUUAGUAAUCAUGUGCACAGUAACCUGGAAACGAGCCUUACUUCUGAGUAAACGUACAAAGGAUUAGGCUGGAAUCCUGCCAGAUGAGCUGGGUAUAAAUAAUAAAUUAUUAUUAUUCCUAUCCGCCUGUGCAUGUUAACACGGAAGUAAGUCGCAUUGAGCUGAAUGGCACAAGAUAUAUAUUCUUUGUUUUUCUAUGUUUAAUGUUUUAUUGUGUCUUUAUAUUUGUUGGAAGCCGCCCAGAGUGGCUGGGGCAAGCCCCAGCCAGAUGGGCAGGAUAUAAAUAGUAAAAUUAUCAUUAUUAUUAGUAGUAGUAGUAAGUUUCCUUAGAAGCUCCGGUUAUGUGCAAGGCAAUCCCACCAAUUAAAGGGGAAUCCUUGACUUUUAGUAUAAGGCAGUUAGAGAGUAAGAACCGGUGACUGAUCGUGGCUUAGUUUUGUAUGGUUUUGUGGUGACACAACACUUGCAGCGCAAAUCUAUAGGUCAUAGAUGGCUCAUCAAAAGUCAGCCCCGUUAAGUUCAAUAGGACUUUCUACGAAGCAAGAGGACUGGCGCCUUAUUUGCAAGCAAGUUCCAGAGGGAAUUUUGGAAAAUAACAAAAAGGGUUUUGUACUCAGGCAGAGGAGCCGGUGGGUGCUUCAGACAACCCUUCGCCCACUCCCAUUAGCGGGUCCCUGGGGUGAGGCUGAGGCUGCCUCUGCAAUGCGUCUCUCUUCCUCCUGCGAAUGUGUUUUGACAGUCCUCGCCACACUCCCGAAUUCUGGAGAGUUUCUUCCCAUCACAACUGACCCACCCUCUUCGCCUGCAGCCUCGCGGGAUUCAGGAGGACUUGCUCUCAAGCUAGUCUUCGGCUUAAAUGGCCCCAGCUUGAAGACGCCCGUGGUGCAAACAAACAAACAAACAGCCUUGGCAAAGGCUCCAACUAAACCGGGGUGGGACAGGGGGAGGGAGCGGGCUCCGGCCUUCCUGGCCUCUGAUGAAUGGAAGUGGCUUUUUCUUUCCAGACUCCUCGCUCCCCUUGCCCCCACAGCCUUUGAUAGGUCUCUUUUCUUGUCUUUUAAGCGCUUGUUUUUAAUUGUGACCCUGGGCUGGUCCACGAAGUCUCCUGUUGGGAGUUGUUAGCGGUGGCUGCCUUAGUUGGGCAGGACCUCCCAAGUGGCUCCGGCCGGCGUGCCAGAGAAAGGGAGACUCUGCUCAUCGUCCAGUCGCGCUCCCAUCAAAGUCCCCCGGACCGAGGAGCCUGCAGGGCGCGCUCGGAGGCGGCGGCGAGGAGAACAGUAAACAAUCGCCAGGCCCGCUCCCGCCACUCCCUCCCCAAUCCACACCACAGCGAGCGCGCUCUCACACAUACACAGAAACCAGCAAGCCUGAGCGAUCUCCCAUUUCCAGAGAGAUCUAAAAUCUUACAUCGUUUCUCUGUAACUUUUUGAGAAUACAGAGUGAUUUAGAUUUCCCACUGGUUUGACAAGGUGACUAUAAUUUAUCGUGCGCGCGAAGGAAAAAGUUGUUGUGGUUGUCCUCGUCGUUGUUGUUAGCCGAUACGCUUCUUUUUCAUAUAGGAAGGGAAUUAUAGUGGGUGUAGGAGCCAACGGUAUCCUAGGGACCGAGGUCCCCUCCCCCCACAAAAUAUUUGAGGAGGCUACCGCCCCCAAAAUGUUGGUUGGCAUUGCCAUUCAAAUGGUGUGCAUGCAUGAUCCGUUACGCGAAGCGGGGCUUACCUGCCCCCCAAUAUUUCAUUCAAAUUAGCAUCCCUGAUAGUGGUGAUUACCAAAUUGGCGGUGGGGAAUCUGAAGUGCCCAUCAUUGCCCAGAAUUGAUUAGGGUUGCUCUGACGUAACUUUCCAUUCUGUUCAAUGGGACCUACUCCAAAAUUAAUGUGCGUAGGAUUACCAUACUUAGUUCUGAGGAAACAUCUAUAUGCUGUGAGGCUGCAAUCCUGCGUGCACAGUUUUCGCUCAUUUCUGUACUUGAGGGAAAGCGCUUUGGAAAGCACUUGGACUUGCUUCUGAAUAAGCAUUCCUGGCACUGAGACCAAAUUGCCUUUAAAAUGAAUGCAGAUAGAUAGAUAGAUAGAUAGAGACUUCACAUGGAUUGGCUUGCUUGAAAGUGUUGUGUAAAUUGAAGUACUGUAGUAAUAAUAAUAAAUAGUAUCUGAUAGUACAGAUUCGGCAGGUUGAGAUCCAAAACUCGUUUACUUGCAAGUAUGGCCCUGUGAAAUCACCCAGCUCAAUGGCAUUUAGCCCAGGAGCCGGCGAUGGUUAUUAAGGUUAGUACCAAUAUCCUUCCAAUGGAAAGAUUGUAGAAAUCAUCCUUUAGCUGUGCUUACGCUGUUUAGUUACUCUGGAGCCGCCUUGAGUCUUUCCAAUCAACCGAGGCUGGGACAGGGUAAGGUUUGCUGCCUCAGGUUUUGAUAGGUACCCAACAGAAUAGAGCGAAUUUUAUGAAUAAGAAGUUUUGUUCUUGUCCUGUACACAGAUCUGCUAUACCUCUUAGAUUACGUUGGCUCCACUCUUCACCAUCCCAACCCCCCAUACAAGUGUGUAUAUGUACAAAGCACCUUGCAUAUUACCAGGUGAGGUAAUAAAUCCGCUGGCCUUUAAGUGGGCACAAGCUGCUCUUUGCUAUUCGGGAUGAUUUCAGAUGGACUGACUCCCAGGUUGUGUGCCAGAGAAAGAUUUUCAUAAAAAACCGUUCCUUCCAAGUUCAAUGAGAUUUUCUCCCAAGUACCCUCAUUGUAGCCAAAUCGAAUGGAUUUCAGUUCAAAAAAGGUGACCCAUCAUUUAAUGGUGUUCACAUGCCGAUUUUUUCCUUAAAGAAACACUCUUUUCUUCCAAGUGAAGGUCAAUUUAUUUAAAUUUAAAUUACUUAUAAGCAAGCAGGUUACUAUUUGUAGCAACUACAAAGUCAGUUUCGGUUCCAAUCAUCUACUGUUCAGAUUUCCCUAUCCUCAGAACUGCACUUAAAGACGGAGAAAAAUUUAAUGUGAAGUGGUUGAUUAAUCUAUUGAUCAGUUAAAGACAUGGUAGCUAGUGGAGCAAAUCCCUCUAACAGUUCAGUUGAUACAAAUUUACUAACAUGGCCUCUUAAAGCUGCCCUCAAAUUCAUCUCUAGUUUUGUUUGCUAUGGGUGUUCCCUUAGCUUGCUUAAAAAAAAAAAGAGGAAAUGAAUCACUAAAAACCUUUCAUUGAUUAUAAUAGGCCUAACCACAGCCCAAAUCAAGGCUGGCGGUCUUUGGGACUGUCAUGCGACCAUACCAAGUUCCUCAUUUGAGUUACAACGAAAUUUCCACUAGAAACGCAAGUGCAAUUUUUAAAGUCACUAAGGCUGAGACAAACAGACUGACUUGAAAGUAGAUCCCGGGGGCACAUCCAAGUAAAUGCACUGAAGGUAAUCAAUUCUAUUCCAUUUGAAAUACAGAGUCUGGAAUAAAUUCUACAAUGGGCUUUGUAGAAUUAAGGAGAGCAAAGUAUGGGGAUCUGAAUAGCAGUACAAACAUCUGACCGCUGCUUUGCUCUUAGUAAAUACAACCGAUCCACAGCCUUGCUAAGCCGAAGGACAAGGAUUCAUGCCCGUCCCGCGUCCCCCAUGCUGAAGUAAGCUGAACUAGCAUUGCACCUCACAAAUUUGGGAAUAAAUCCCAUUGAUUAGAAAGGUUUUGCAAGUGGAUCCUGAGGAAACUUCCUUGGAAACUUCUUGCUCUGAAUAAUCAGUGGGACUGAUACAACAGCUCCGUCCAGAAAACCACUAUUAUUGGUUAGGAUUGCAAUGCCAUUUUUCAAGAGAUGUGUGCAGAAUUCAGCUGUUAUUUGGAAGUCUGCUUGAAUGCAGGCACUUCGGUUUAAGUGCGCCGGGCUUCUAUUUUUGGUUGCUGUACUUCGUCUGUAGCAAUGCUCAAGAAAAUAAAAAGAGCAACCACCGAGUCAAGGCCUGAAUUUUGUUUCUUUCGAAACCAGAAAUUGCAGCAGUUCCUUGAGACGAACCUCUAGGUUUGGGGACCCGUUGUUGCAAUCGUUUCCCAGCCAGAUCCUCUCCCUCUCCUUGUCUAGGCUAGUUAGGGAAUUACUGGCUCAGUCUUAAUGCUGGAAUCAAAGCGCCACCACCCUGGCGCUCGAGCGGGUCUGUAAAUCACAACUAUGCGAACAAGGAACAAAGAGGGUGGAGUUAGGGGAGUGCGGUAAAUUGCAUGUAACGGCGACGGCUAUUAAGGCGUUUUGUAAUCGUUUACACCUGAGAAUUGGUUUACUCCGCCGGCGAUUUGAAACAUUAAAUGCGUCGUUAUUCUAUAUCAUGACUGUAUACAGACAAAUCGAGGAGCCUUAUGGGCAAUUUCGAUGGUUUUGAGUGCCCAUAAAAUGCUAUGUAGUUCAAGGGGCUGCGCAUUUACAGACCUCUCUCCCCAACUACCCCCGCUCUCCUUCCGCCCCUCCUGGAAGUACUCUUGAAAGCAUUUCCACUGGAGUUAGGAAUGUCAGAAACUUGUGAAAUAUGAAGAACUUGUAUGGGAAACGCUCGCGACGCAGAGGCAAGGUCUGAAAAGAGGCGUCUGCUCGGGCUACUGGAGUUAUUCUCCUUCAGGAUGGCCUCUCGUCCGUUUCAUAACUGCGAUCCGCAAUCACUCAACUCAUGGGCCGAGCUUUGAAGCGAAGAGGAUGCAGAGGGGGUUGCUAGUUCCUGUGGAAUCGACUGCCACUUGAUCCGGAUCGGGCCAUCCACACGCACCCUGCUUUUCAGAAGAGCACGAUCGAAACUGUGCAAAAACUCCUUAAUUGUUUUCUUUCACUGGCGCAUUGCUAUCAUUGUAAUAAUUCAGUUUUCUUGCUCCCCCCCCCUUGUACUAUGCCCACUACCCCCUCCCUCGUUUAUGGCAGAUUAUCAAACCCUUCAUGGAAAAACUCGGUUUCCCAAUAGCAAUGACGUUCAGAUGCUUCUUCAUUUUCCCUCUCCCUCCCUGGCACAAUCAUAGCAUAGGACCCAGCACAAGGGAAAUGAUUCAAUUCCAAAUACGUUUGUUUGAAAGCAAGUUUCACUUUGUUCAGCGGCGUUUGCUUUCAAAGAAGCAUGCAUAGGAUCGCUGCUUUUCAAAGCACUGCUUUCAAGUUCAGGAAAGGGAGGCCGCCUCAGUCAACAGACAAACCCGAGGACUGGAAUUAAACUUCACCGGAUGCUGCCAAAGCCAAACAUUUCAGUAAUCAACAACCAGAAAAGGAUCAAGAUGUAUUUUCUGCCCGAGGCAGGAAAUCCGAAUGCUACCCCGCGCUAAGACUAUAAUAUUGACUUAAAUAAGAGUUAAUUAUUUAACUGCCUAAUGGUAAAGUCAGCAGACAAAAGCCAACAACAGGAUUCUUACAACUCUGUCCCACCCCCGCGGCAAUCUAACUCAAGAAGAAGGUAGAAACCGCGGUCACAUUGUGGCUCCUCCUGGGCACUUAAUCUGUGUUAAGCACCCAGGCCAUGAGGUGAGCUAAACAUAUUCUUCUGGUAUAUAUCUGAGGAGUUGUGCUGCAGCCUGUUUGGAAGUGUAUUGCUUAAAACAAAAAACGUUUUAAAAUAAGCUACAGCUUAUGUUUCCCCCCCCCCCCCUAAACAUCCCCAUUGUUUUCUGUUAACCUAAUAGAACUGGUUAGGUUAACUGGUUAACAGAACUGAGACUCUCAAGUAGACAGGCUGACACCACUUUAAAACAGCCCUGCAGUCCAUCCAUGCCCAUCCCUAUUGCAUUACUGCAGACCUAUUGCAGUAUUAUAACCUGAUCUUCCGUGGACUACAUUGGAGCAGAUGACGUCUUCUUUUAAGGUAUCCCAGCAUGGCUUCCUACUCGCAGCUGGCUCAUAACUCCGUCGUUUCGAGGAUCCUGCGGCUCUUCCUUCGAAGGCUUUGCCCAGUCCCGAAUGCUGGAGACUUUUAUGUUUUGCUAUCUUGGUUUUAAAAGGCGUGCAGAAUACCUGCUCCUGCCUCCCAUAAACCUGAAAUGUAAUAACGGAGAAGAAAUCCACCUUUUCGUGGUUAAAGUGUUGUAAAACUUAACUGGGCCGCUCCGGGUGAUCUUAACUGUGUGCAGAGCACCCGAAGCACCGAUGUGGAUCCAAUGAGAUUUUUGCUUCCCAGUAACUUGGGAGUUGCAGCCAGCAGCAGACAGAUGAAUCCUCUAGCUCUGAUUUUCUGGGCGGGGGCUUUAUUCUUACCGGAUGUGGGGGAUGCAGGAAAGGCUCUGGACAGCAUAAAAAAAAUCCUACGUAUUUGAAACCAUUCAUUCAGGACAAAGCAUUUUCAAUUCAAUGCCAGCCCCCUUUUGCCCUCUAGUUCAGUGAAUCGAUGGGAGUUUUUGUUUGUUGGCUUGUUUUUAAUAAAAUAGCUGGCAGCUGGUUGAAAAAAAAGUUAAUUCUUUAAUCAACUGUUCGUUCAAGCUUGUUGGAGGAAACGAUAAUGCCAAUUCGAAAACACAAAUCCUGGGAAAUAGGACGCAAUAAUUCCGAUAUUAUAUUCUAGACUGAGCUGACAUGGGAGACGAUGGUUUCUCAUGAUUUUUUUCUUUUUUUAAAGAGGUGCUUGGGAUCCCGAUUCAAUCUUUCUGUUUUUGUGCUUGUGUCUAUGAGUUAUACUCUUUCGCUAAAUCCUGUUUAAGAUUCACUGUAAAAACCACUUGCCUUCAGUUUUAAAACCAUGCAUUUCGGGCACUCGGGAUUUAUGAUAAAUGAUGGCCUAUGUAUGGCUCAGGCAUUCAUCCCUGUUUUGUGGUGUGGUCUAAGCUGUUUCUCAAGUUCACCACUAUCAGCGACCGCUAAUGCACAGCCUAUGUAACCUAAUUACUUUCGUAACCAUUUAAAAUACAUUAAAAAGGCCUAAUGACACAUUUUAAAUAUCCAGUGCUGUCCUCAUUGACUAUAACACCACCCCUUUUCUCUUUUCUUCUAAUUCUUCGUGUCUUUUCGCCCCGUGUCCGGUUAAGAUUCUGAAAUGUCUGAAUACACAACAUAGAUCUUCUGCAUAGGUGAUGGAGCCCUGUUAGUCUGGGGUUUUGAAAGUCCCGUCACAUCCUGUUUUUAGUGGGAAGACUUCAUACAAAGGAAUCGUCAGGUAUGUAGAAGGGAAGAAGUAUUCAGCGGCAGACAUACUAUCGUUUUAUUUGCAUUCAUAACAAAUUAUUACAAAAUGAUUUUUAAAAUAAAAAUUACACCACCCUUUCAUUAAAAAAAUUAGAGAGACGUUUUAUGCAGCACGCUGAAAGAUGAAGGAUAGUUAUUCUUAAUAAAAUUAAUAAUUAGAUUUCUUACCUCCCCCAGGUAAGAAGCGAGGAGGAAUUCCAAUGAUUUUAAAAUACAUUAUUAUAAACAGUUAAAACAGGCUAUACUCAAGAGAAUUGUGUGUGCCCUAAAAUAAAUCUCUCAGGUGUUAAAGGCCAGGGUUUGUUGUGGGUUGAAAUGAAUGCAGAAGAAUGAUAAGAAUACUUUAUUUUAAAAGAAAAUUUUAAAAAGUUGAUAAAAGUAUGAACAACAUUGAGAAAGGAUUGAAAGAAUGAGGUCGAACUCCCUCCUCCCCUAAAUGUAAAUAAAUAAUCAUAUCCAUAAAAUUCACUCUUGGCGUGAGACUUGAUAUGUUAAUGUUCUGCCCAGAGCAAAUUUUUAUGUGUUAUAAAACUCUUCAAAGGAAGCAUUUUAUAAUGGAGACACUGACAGUUUCCAAAGAGUGCCUCCGUAAUAGUCCACGGAUUUUAGUUAUAUCGCUGGCGCAUAGACACCCCCACACAAUUGUAAGUAAGAUAAAUGAUUAACUGGUCCAUCAGCUAAACCAGAUUACCAUAUUCAAGAAGUAUGCCAUUAUACAUCCGAAGACAGGGAUGCAAUGAUCCUCAAGGUGUUUGCUCAGAAAUAAAUGGGACUCCUUCAUGACUUUAAAGAUUUCAGUCAAGUCUAGGAAAUAGCUUUCUUGUUAUCAAUGGCAACAUAUCAAAGAUGCUAUAGGGUUGCAGUCCAUUUCUGAAUAGGAUUACUCUGAAGAAACCGCCAGAAAAGCCAAGGGAGUACUUUCCCAGGAAGGCUGUUUCGGACUACGGCCUUACACAAUAGCGUCAGCAACACAUUCCUCUGUGCUCAGAUGUAACUCCCAUUGAGUUCAAUGGGGCUUACUUCCAGCCAAGUAAAUGAGUAUACAAUUGCAGCCUAAACUGCAUUUUCUGAGCUUCUCGUUUCUUUGUUUUUCCCUUAUCAAUACGACUUAGAAGCAUGCAUAUAUAUAUAUAUAUAUAUAUAUAGUGACCACUAUUAAGGCACCAGUCCUCCACAUGUUCACUUUAUGUGUGUGUGUUCCAUUGGACACUCUGAGACUUACUUCCGAGCAGGCAUGCGUAGGAUUGCACUUAAAAUAUAAUGCAACAACUUGAAUCAGGACCAACUGAGGCCCAUUCGGCAACCCUGUUAAACUACUGCCCACACAUAGGAUUGGCAUCAUGUGGGCAUCGCUGGGAUUCUCAACACAUUUUUCUUCAUUUCAGUUGGAUGUAGCGCCAAAAGAAAGCACUUUAGGCUUGACUGCAACUCCAGUCAUUGGCUUCGGUCGGUGGGUUUAAAGUUCUGGCCGUGCAAUUGCAACUCAGGGGGGUUGCGUGUGGAUUUGCAGCAGGACCGAGAAUCCUAUUCAAUCCGAGGAAUGCAGUUGAGGUGAAUUGGAUCGGCUAUGCGCAGGACGGAGCGUCCUCUGAUCCGCAGAAAGCAAAAAAGAGAGACGCAAAAUAAAAAUGCAAAAAGGCUGGGUGGACCUUAGUCGGUUAAAAACAACAACAGUACCGAACAGGAUAAGUAUGAGAAUACUGUAGCUACCUUUCGCAAAACUUUGCCUCAUUCUCUGUCUUUAAGGUGCCACGAGGUCCUCUUGCAACAGUAAAAUACAGCUAUCCUGCGGAAGACUCUCACUUUGUCUGUUACACAAAACUGGGGCGGGGGGGUGGCUUAAGUAUAUUUUUUCUAAUGGUUGCUCCUAGGGGGUCAUGAUAGAAGCCGCUUCCGCAGCGCACGAUAGUCUGGGUGAUUCAACGACAUUCUUAGCAGACCGGUUAGUUUUGUUUCUUCCCAGUGCAGAAGAUCACUGGCUGCACCAAAGCAAAUGGAAAUUAUUUUUCUUCUUUCUGACAUUAACAACCGGUCUGCGUUUUUGAGGAUACCCAGAGUUUAGCUGUGCAGGAGCCGAAUCCUAAAGGCCACGUACUAUACUAUCUACCAAGCUAGGGCUAGCGCUGUGUCUGAAGGCGUAGGGACAUGCCUUUCCCGACCACUAGGCAAUACUACCGAAUUUGGCUUUGAUGCGUUCUGCUUCAUCUAAUAUAAACCUCCAGCUCUUCUAACAGCAAAGACUGCCACCGUUUCCUCGUGUGUGUGUGUUUCAUUCUGACACCCCACCCCGCAUUCUGAUAUUUCUUUCUCAUUCUGGUUCCACCCACCCUCCCAUAUUCUGACUUUCAAGCUACUUGAGACUUCCGAUUCCUACCAAAGACCGAUUCCAAUAACUGCUGGCGUUGAUGUUUUCAGAGGGAGAGAGAGGCCAUUGCCUUCCCUGCUCCCAGAAUGCUUCACGGCCAGGACAAACAGUGCUUUGGGACAAACAGUGAUUUGCAAUGGACAGAAAUCGCUGUUAUGACGCCAGCUUAACAAGCAAGAGAUGGAGCUUCCGCUACGUCGUCUAACUAACGCAUAUUUUAUUGGACUCUUUUCUUCUUUCCCCUCAACUUCGUGUUGUUUAACAUCGAAGUUGGAGAAGAUUCCUGUAAUACUGGAAAGUGAGUUUACCGUUUUGUGAUUUUUAAAAUUUUAAAUUGGAACAGCUAAUGGGACUCAAUGAAACUUCUGAGUAAACGUGCCUGUAUUGUUGUUUCUUUGCAAAUAUAUUCUUUGCAAAUAUAUGAGAGACGGUUAAGACCAGAGAUUUUGUUCAGCCUUGGAUCUAAUCCAUCCUGGCGUGGGUUGCUCUCUUUAUUUUAAUUGGCUGUAAGUGCAGAAAGAGAGGGACGUCUGGAGGAGCUGCGAGCCAUCCCUGCAAUAUCUCACUGAUAAAAAAGGGAGGGUGUAUUACAGAAAACUGUAUACAUUGCCUGUAAGGAAACGGUGGCUUACAACGUGCAAACAGCAGCUGUUUGUUGUGUGCUCCAAGCCGAGGGAGGCUAUGGGUGGUGUCGGUUUCUGGAAUGUGUCUGAUAUCGCAGGACAUCUGGAGCGCAGGCCUCCUGCCUCUCUGCCACAGGUUUCCAUGGGUGGCCUUGGUCAGAUCCUACCAUGAGGUUAUUCGCUUGCAGCACCGACUAUUGCCCAGUCAAUCACCACGGGAAUAUUCAGGUGGAAGAACCGGGGCUUUAGCUCAAUGGGCAAACACGUGCAAGUUCCCUUAGUGGCAUAUUUAGGGUUAAAAAAGAUCAAGUAGCAGACUCCGGAGGACUAGUCAGAAUAUAGACCCAUCAAGCUGGGGCUUGAUAAAGAGUCGUAGCCCAAAACAUCUGCCCGGCACCAGUUUGGAGAAGACUGAAAAAGCAAUGUUGGGCUAGAUCGGGGUAGCCAACGGUGGCCUCCAGAUAGGGUUGAACCAUAAUUCGCAUUAGCCGCACCCGCAGUCAAUGUGGACUACAGCUCCUAUCAUCCCUGAUGAUCAAUGGCUACGUUGGUUGGGGCUAAUGGAAACUGCAGUCUAGCCAUAUCGGGAAGCCACCACGGUGGCUAACUCUGGACUAGAUGGGAGAAGGAGAAACCACGUGGUAUAAAACAGAUCCCCGCUCCUCACAGUGGCAGGUGAGGAAACGGAGAAAGGGCAGCACAUUCAAAGCCGUAAUUGCAGUUUGACAUUUCGAUCUUAUACGCCGCUUGUUUGAAAUCGGCGUACUGUACUCCCAAAACAUCAUGGAUGAAAGGAAAGAGCUGGGCUUAUUAAUGGAGCUGUGGUCAGAGUGGGGGCAGGCCACCACAGCUCUAAACGUGGACCCUUUUGUCCAAGAGGACUAAUACAAUGGGCGUAGCCAGGGUUUAUGGGGGGGCAGGCUUUAUGUUGGGAGGUGGCAGAACCUCGUUAUUUGUGACGCAAUUGGUCAGUUAGUUAAGUACAGUGGUACCUCGGGUUAAGAACUUAAUUCGUUCUGGAGGUCUGUUCUUAACCUGAAACUGUUCUUAACCUGAAGCACCACUUUAGCUAAUGGGGCCUCCCGCUGCCGCUGCGCCGCCGGAGCACGAUUUCUGUUCUCAUCCUGAAGCAAAGUUCUUAACCCAAGGUACUAUUUCUGGGUUAGCGGAGUCUGUGACCUGAAGCGUAUGUAACCUGAAGCGUAUGUAACCCGAGGUACCACUGUAUUUCUAUUUAUUUACUUGAGUUAGGGGGGGCAGUAUUGUCUCUGACUAAUACUUUCAAAAAAGGGGGUGUCUAGUCAUGCUGUUUGUUCUUCGGCUUAAGGAUUGUCCUCCACCCAAGGCGUGCCUUAAUAUCCUCAGAGGUCGAUUUGAUCUAGGACUCUGCCUCGGGACGUGCAUUAUCCGUGAUAAAAUGGGGAAAGAUGCCACUGGCCUGUGGACUUCAUCCUGCCCCAGUUUAAUCUGAUCGCGGGGCUUGGCUGCACAGUAUCUGUUAGACUAGUCCCGAAUGGUCGAACAAAAAGAGUCUCCGAAGUUCACGUUGGCGUGAAACAAGUUUUCUUCCUUCUAACCUCGGUGCCUUUCGGUUUUGAGUCUCUGAUUGGUUGGUGGUAUCUUAGCAAAGAGAAACCUGGCCGUGAACGUUGCCCAAGAAAGGGUUUGGAAUCUUUCCCAUUUCUUGCACGGCCUGGGCUUUUGCUCAGAUCCGGCGCGCAGGCGUUUUGCUCUGGGACCGUCCCCACUCCUGCCUCGUGGAGAAGCGAACUGGACCAGAGCAAAGGACGGAUACCCAAUUCUACUAGCAAAGACGGGAGAAAUGGACCAGGGUGUCGCUUUCUUGUCACUCUCCCGGUGUUCUAUCAGCCCGUGUGGAAUGGCGCUUUCCGUUUCUGUCUCCCAGUCCGUCUGAACACUUUCGCAGGCUGUCUGUAGUGGACAGUACAAGGGGCCGAGCAAUGUUAUCUCGGCAAGCUCAUAAAUGUAUUCAGAUGUUGGCUUAUUCAAUGGAGUCUGUUAUUGAGACUGAUGCUGGCAAGGUUAUUAGGAUUAAGGGAGCAAAUGAAUCGUGUGAUCGUUAGAGAAUCUUGAAAGGAGGUUAAUUCCAGCGCAGCGUUGCCUUGUGUCCCAUAGCGCGGGGAUAAUUGUAUUUGACUGUCUCCGAAAAUCAAUUUGGUCGUCCCUGACUGACUUUGAAACGGGGGGGGGGCACUUUACUUUGCGCACACCUUUACAGACGUGCACAAGCGCAAUAUAAGGAACGGGAGCCUGAGUAUAUAAGUGUAUGGGUAUGAUUCCUUGGUAAAUGAAUAUUUGGUCAGGAGCCUUGUCUGGCUGUGAGAUAGUGCAACAUUCUCUGAUCCAAAGCACUCCCUGAUGCACUACUAUUCUACCUGCAGGGAUAUAUUUACACAGCAGUGUUUUGUUUUGUUUUUAAAUGCCCCUCAUCUGUUGUCAGAAGUGACAUUGUUAUGCAAUCACCUCAUUUCCCAUUCUUUCUGUGCGCUGGGGUAGCGCAUGCCUUAGGCUUGAGUCUUGCAAUCUACCAUACAGGGUGAAAGAGUUCAGCUCAGCCUUUUCUAUUAUACGUCGAUAUUUUUGUUGUUGUUGUUUAGUCAUUUAGUCGUGUCCGACUCUUCGUGACCCCAUGGACCAGAGCACGCCAGGCACUCCUGUCUUCCACUGCCUCCCGCAGUUUGGUCAAACUCAUGCUGGUAGCUUCGAGAACACUAUCCAACCAUCUCGUCCUCUGUCGUCCCCUUCUCCUUGUGCCCUCAAUCUUUCCCACAUCAGGGUCUUUUCCAGGUAGUCUUCUCUUCUCAUGAGGUGGCCAAAGUAUUGGAGCCUCAGCUUCAGGAUCUGUCCUUCCAGUGAGCACUCAGGGCUGAUUUCCUUAAGAAUGGAUAGGUUUGAUCUUCUUGCAGUCCAUGGGACUCUCAAGAGUCGAUAUUUUUAAGAAACAAUAAAUGGGGGAAGCAUUCAAAGAUAUGAUCCCCUGGUUUAUGUGUCCGCCCACAAUCUUAUUCUGCUAAAAUGACUGUUUAUGAAUGUGAUUAAAGAACAAAACAAAAAAACAAUUGGCUUCAGAAGCAUAACAGAUUUGAUCUUUCUUUCUCUUGCUAAAUCAGGGAAAAUCUCCAUUCUUUGAAUAUUACAGGAACGCCAACUGUUUUAUGUGAUCUAAUCCAAUCCUUUACGCGGGGAUUCUUCAAACGGUUUGGGAAUAUAAGCAUUUUUGGUUGACCAAAAAUAGCCUUUCCUAGAAUCCCUAAUUCUGUCUAGGGAGACAUUUUAACCAUUUUAAAUAGCAGUCAUUCUCUAAAAAAUAAAAAACGUUAUUCUAAAAACAUUCCAGCUGCCCAUUUCUCUGCCUCGGUCUCUCCUAGAGACGUGUGCCAGCCAGCCUGAGUCAGCCCGCGGGGCACAGCAUCCCUCGGGUUAAUAAUGCGAGGGAACUCGAGCGCCACCCACCGCUUUCUUUUGGAAAAGCAAGAAGAGCGCGCAGAACAUACUUUUGGCACAGUUCAGGGCUGCGCUCCAACCGGGCCGAGUUUGCCAACUCCAGAGUUCUUAGGGGCUCUCCAGAGAGCGAUUUGAAUGGGAAAUACAUCGGAUGGACUGCAAUAAUCACUUCGAAACGCCCUGUCGGCAAAUAUCAGUGGGAAAGACUCGGCAAAAAGGUGUUAAUGGCGAAGCUGCGGUUUGCCAAAUUCUGGCAUCAGUACUAUGACUUAAGAUGGAGGUAUAAAUAACCGACAAAAGUGAAUGGAAAUUUCCAAAACGGAGCGAGGAAGAGAUUUAAGAAGAGGAUAAUGGUCUAUAAGGUGAACAGGACAUAAUGGACACUUAAAUAAAUCCUGUGUUUUUGGAAGUCCUUUCGUAGAAGGAAGGCACAUUGAGUGAACUUCUCAGAAUAUGUGCUUGGACUCGCAACCUUAUUGAGUUAGGAACAUGUGUCUUCGCCGUGAUCUAUGCGGUAUAUAACAUAUAACAUGAGAAAUGAUUUAAGAAUCCCAAAUCCAUGCUUGUGGCUUUGCCCUCAAUUAACAGCGUGAUAUACUGUUUCAAGAUGUGCUAUGUUGUUAUGCGGCCCUUUAAAGGCUAGCCGAUUUAUCGUGGCACCCUUUACACGCCCUCAAAUGGAAGGGCGUUUACCCGGGAAAAUGAGUAUAGGACUGCCAAAAGGGCAGGUGACUGUGGCAAGCGGUGUCUUGGCCUAGAGGACCCUCAAGAGGAAUUGAUCGGGAACUUAGGGAGCAACUGGGACACUGCAAUAAAAUGUUGCAGUUGGGAGUUCUUCUCUUGACCGCAGGGAUGGGGAACCUUUGGCAUCCUGAUGCUGCUGAACUACAACUCCCAUGAACCCCAGCAAGCAAGGCCAAUGGUCAGGGAAGAAGGGAGGCGUAGUUCAGGAACAUUUGGAGGGCCAGAAAUUCCUCAUCACUGGUUUAUGGUUGUAGCAAUCGCUUUUCAUAUCCCGGUUUUCGCGCGGGGUGUGUCUUUCUCUGUCUUUUUAUGCCAAGAUAAGCUGGUGCCACAGUAAACAUGUUAAUCUUGCAAAGUGCCAAAGAACUCUCUGUGUGUACUUAGAAUCACAGAAUUGUAGAAGGGACCCGGAGGGUCAUGUAGUCCAACCCCAAGAAUCCUGCCCACAAGCCGUCCCUAGCUGGGCUCGAACCACCAACCUUCUGGUUAACAGCCAGAUGCGUUGUGCCACUGGGGCUCCAAACAUGACUUUCUUCAAAAAAAUUGUUUGCUAACAAUAUGUACGCAGAGAAUUGUGGUGUCUCGCUCUCUGCCAGGUGCUGAACCCGUCUUAACAGAAGCCAGUCUACUGGUUUAGGGUUCCAGGGGGUGUUUGAGGCGUGGGGCGAACGCUCCCCUCCACAGUCCCGUCGAGGCUCUCCUUCGGCCCUGGCUCUGCCUUCCCUCUGAAUCCUGCUUCUCCCUUCCUCUCCGCCUUGCGCGCAUUUGCUUGGAAUGCGUCCCAUUCAUUCCAGCGGGAUUUCUUCCUGCUUCGGAAUGCAGCCUAAAACUCCCUCUGCAAAGAGUCCUAGGCCAGCCCUUCACACAGCCGGCCUCUGAUCGCGAUGGCUAACGAGGAUGUGAAGAACCCGGGGCGGGGGGGAGGUGAGGGGUCGUCGAUUCCCCGCGGGAGCGGCGGAUCCUUUGACACCCCAGUGACUCCCCCGGCCGGGCCCACGCUCCAGCCUUGCUCGGACCCACCGAGUCCUCGGUGCGCAGCGUGACCUCGCUCCCUGAUCGUCCCAGCCAAAUUGGCUUCGUCGUCUUCCCCUCCUCUCCGGAAUGACAUAUCGCUGGAGCCCUAAUGAAGAUGAAUAAGCUGCUUCCAGAAGCUGUUGACAGAUCGUCCCAAUAGGAAGGGAGGAAACACACACCGCAUAAUUGCUCCAAAUACCAGAAGACACGGUUCGGUUGGGAAUUGGGGCGGGGGGGGGAGGAGAGAGAGAGAUGGGGGUAGAUCUUCUUAUGCGGAAGCCAAGCGAAAGAGCUGGGAAAGGCAGGAGCAACGAGAUAGGUCUGACUCUGAGCCCAAUCCUGUCAAAAGUUCGGCUCCUGUGUAAACCUCUCCCAGUCAGCAGAGGCUUAUGAAGGGAGGCCAAACUCGGUGCAGGAUUGGCUGUUAAUAAGGCCCUGCUCUUGAUGAACUGUGUUUGGGAUGCAGACCCACAGAACUGAAAGAUCCUCCCUAUCCACCCCUCCCAACUGGGGGUUUCCCCUGAUUUUUUAUUCUUCUCCAAAUCUUCGGGUUCCCCAAAUCCAGACAGUACCUCCCUCCUGUCUUGGUGGUGGUGUUUUGGCUACAUAAGCAGCAUCACUCAUACCCUGGACUUCGAAACUUGAAGGAACAAGUGGACCCCUGUAAUAUUGUAAUUCAGUAUGGAGUGCUUCUGUUCAGAGUUUCAACAACUCCAUCCAUCCAUCCAUCCACUCCUCCCUCCUUCUCUCUGGUUUUCUGCUCCUGACCUCCCUCAACAGCCAGUCUGCAUUCUGUGUCCAUAUUCAACCCUCAUUGGGUUGCUGUGGGAUGGGAUUCCUCUUCCCUGUCAGAUUUAAUUUGGAACCCAUAGCAUCUAAGUGCCUUCCACCCAAUGUUUCACUGUUUGCAUAUGGCAUUAAAGGGCAACAUAGAAUCAUAGCCAGUUGGGCAUCCCUAAAGCAGAUCUUGAACUCAUUUAAGUUAUGGUUACCAGAUUUUUUUUCAAUGAAUCCGGGGACCCUUUUUUUUUUUUGGAAGCUGAGUAGCAACAGAGAGUCAGUAGUGGGGACGGUGAGGCAAAAGACCCUUGGCCCAAGCACACAUGCAUAUUGUAUAAAGGUGCAAAGCCCUUCUUUCGCACCCUGUGAAACAGAAAUGCAGUUUUUUUAAAAACUGGGCAAUGGUGUGCUGCCCGCCAGUGACUCCCGAGCCUCCCCUGAUCUCUUGCCCCCUUCCUCCUUUGUUUUGACUGAUCGGCGGUCACGGGAGUCACAGGCAGGUGGCUGUUGCCCAGUUUUUUUAAAAAGCUCUGAGUAUUUAUGUUUCACAGGGUACAAAAGAAGGGCUUUGCACCUUGCCUGGCAGAGAAACCACACGCUUUGCGCCCCUCCUAGGCAACGGCCGCCCGCCCAUGACUCCCGAGCCUCCCCCGAUCUGUCAAAACAAAGGGGGAAGGGGGCAGGAGAUCUGUACUGCCAGACGUCCCUGGUUCCCCUUCGGCAGUGGUGGUGGCAGCGAGCAGUGAGCAGCUCCUGAAGCCAGCCAGAGUCAACUGCGCUACCAGGCUGGCUCCGGGCUGCUGAGACUGCCACUGCCACAUUUCCCAGGGACAGAUUUGCAAAUCCGGGCACUGUCCCCGGGAACCGGGGACGCCUGGUAACCCUAAUUUAAGUUGCCAUAGGAGAGUGGCAGCUGUUCGGUUUCAGAGAACUCCCUCUUCAGGCUGACUCAGAUGCUAGCACAUGACCACCCUAAGCUGAAUCGGUGCAAUGUUCAAAGUUCAAACCCUGAAAAUGUAACUCCAUGAAAAGGCUACACUGGAUAGUUCAAAGCGAAGUCAACAGUUGUUGUGACUUUCUUCCUCUAUCGCUUAGCGGUAGAGCAUCUGCCUUGCAUGCAGAAGGUCUCCGAUUCAGUCCCUGAAGCUCCAAGAGUCAAGCAAUAUUAAUGGUGAUGCAUAUGACAUCUCCCAUGUUCAGCCACAAAUCCACAGACACAUUGCAGACUGCCUGCAUGAAGCUUGGGGACCACAGGUUGGGAACCUCUAGUUUAGGAGAUUGCCAAUUCUAAAACUGCAUGCAUUUUACUGUGAAUUUGUUUUUAUCAUUCCUACCUCCUGUGUAGGUGUCAGAAAACCUCAGUGGUGGCUGGUGCACUUCAUGCUGGUAGGGUGGAAGGUUGGGAGACCAACAGUAGGUGGAGUCAGAGCCAAUGGUACAUACAUACAUACAUACAUACAUACUCACUCUAGUUUUCUCUCUCUUGCUCCCCACUUCCCACCAAGUUCUACAAGGACAAUGCUAUGACUAAGGAGGAGGAAGCUGGGAGAUAGUGCCACCCUUGGGCUUGUAAGUAAGGAGGGAGGGAGAUGGGGGUGGGAAAACUACCCAUUCACUUUAAUGGAUUAGCAUCCUCUGGAAAACCACACUUAAAUGAUUUGAACCUCAUCCAAUACCUACAACAACAUGGCACGUUUAACGCAGUAAGACCGUGACACACGGGACUUGGCUAUCAGGUAGGAUCUGAAAAAGAACUUUCCUCAAUGUAAGAAGGACUUGUAUGUGACCUUGAAGUCUUUGCCAACCCUCUGCCCAGCUAUGAAACACGUGGCAAAGUAGACUCUGACUGUAAGUGGUUUCUUUUAUUUCUAUUUUUUCCCCUUUCAUCCUACAGAUGAGCACUUGGUGGCAGUGUCAGCUUGAAAAGGCAUGUCAUAAAUUAGGCAGGGAUAUUAUGUAGGAAGUCCAUAAAGAUAGUUGGCUGCUUCAGCCUGCAUGAUCUUCCAUCCUCUCUCUCUCUGUUUAUCAUCUGGCCAGCUUGGGCAUGAGAUCACAGCUUUCUAUCACUUAAUACUCCCAAAAAUCAGAUGGGAGUGGGGUGCAUGGUAAGUUUUUUCUUCCUUUGGUACCUCUCCCCCCCCCCCCCAGUCAGCAUGGUUUCUCCACCUCCCUCAUAGGGUUGAUGGGAAAAUAUAAUGGGCCAAUGCUAUGAUCACCUUUGAGAACAGCUGGAUAGAAAUAUGGAUUUGGAUUUAAAGCAGCAUGGAGUUAAUUUUGCUUAUGGAAUGGGGCAUCUGUGCUACCAUGUCCUGGAAGCAGCUCCCUCCUGCCCUGAAAACCCCCUCCAGAUGCUUGGAGACCUUCAGAGAGGCCUUCAGGAGGUGCAAAGGGCUGCAGUCAGGGUUGGUGGCAGUGGAACCUGGUCCAUUAGGGCAGAUGGAGCAAUGCCCUACCAAUCUGUUUUCCUUCCACCACCCCCAGCAGUCUCCCUUCUUACACCUCAUCCAGUAGGUGGCACUGCCUGUCAGCUCUCUCUUCUUCAGUCUCUGUGUUGUCCUUGUAGAACCCAGUAAGGUAGGCAUGGGCCUAGCCAGUGUGCAUGAAUGGAAAGCCACUUCAGAACCCUUGCAUUCCAUGACAGCAGUAAGGUAGGAUAGGCACUGAAAAAGAGAUAGCCCGUUCUCUAUCUACCCUAGUCCACCAUCUGCAAUAUGGGGAUAAGAGCAUUAAUCUACUUUGCAGGGGUGUUGUAAGCAUCACAACAAGAGAAGUCAUGCAAAAUGCUUUGGACAUUUGAAAGUGCUAUAUAAAUGCUAAAUACUGCAGGGUAGCACAACUACCAUACAAACAACACCAUCUGCCCUGACGUAGCAUCUCAUUGGAAUUCAAGAAGUAUUUAGUAGUAGGAGAAUUGGUAGAAGAAUAAAUAUUUUCUAACAGGUUCCCUGAAGACUGACAGAAAGCUCCUAACUCAGUACUUGCUGUCAAUCAACUUUCGUUAUCUACCAAUUCAUUCUUACUAUGUAAUGUAAUUGUCUCAAACACUCACCUCCUAGAAGCCUGAUGAGUUUCUACACUUAUUAGAGAAAGGGUGGCAGUGUCAUCAGUAUACAAACUCUAUUUUUGGAAUUUGUAGAACUCUGUGAACUAAUGAGGAAUGUGUUUGCUAUGCAUAAGCUUUCCAGGAAGCCAUCAAAUGUUGUAUCCCAAAGAGAAAUCUAUACCGGAAAGCCAGAUACCACUGGGGUCCCCUGCCCUUCAUUAGGGAAAGAUAGCAAUGAGAACAGCCUGUUCAUAAUUCCACAGUAGUCCCACAGAGGAUCACAUUUCGAAUGUUAUGUCUUAUUUAACUGCAGGCUUGAGCCAGAAAUCCCAAUAUGACUGAGAAUGACUAUAAAUGGGCAAAAGCAGACUCUGUAUUUUACACACACACACACACACACACACACACACACAAAUAUGUAUAGGUGUGCGUGUGUCUGAGUGUGCAUCUUCCUUUUUGUACAGGGUUGCAUAUUUAUUUUAAUGUUCAUACGUGCAAUGUCUGUGCGGUUCUUUUGAUUAAUUUAUAUUCUUUCAAAAUAACACAUUGAUUUUGGGGGAAAUGCAGACAAUUAAGGCUGCAAAUCCAAGGGAGGUGGGGAAUAGGAAGAAAGCUCUAGUGUCUUAGCCUUGUACCUUGCCGUGUUUGAGAUGGUAGGGUAGAAGGAAGGGUGGAAGACUACUCUGCUAGGCUAUGUAGACAUUAAAGGUAAAGGGACCCCUGACCAUUAGGUCCAGUCGUGGCUGACUCUGGGGUUGCGGCGCUCAUCUUGCUUUAUUGGCCAAGGAGGCCGGCGUACAGCUUCUGGGUCAUGUGGCCAGCAUGACUAAGCCACUUCUGGCAAACCAGAGCAGCGCACGGAAACACCGUUUACCUUCCUGCCGGAGCAGUACCUAUUUAUCUACUUGCACUUUGACAUGCUUCGAACUGCUAGGUUGGCAGGAGCAGGGACCGAGCAACGGGAGCUCACCCCGUUGCAGGGAUUCAAACCACCAACCUUCUGAUCAGCAAGUCCUAGGCUCUGUGGUUUAACCCACAGUGCCACCCGUGUCCCUUAUGUAGACAUUAGCAGCUUAAAAUGCAAUGAGGUUGAUUUCCACCCUCCUCGCAUUUCAAGUUGCAUUGCACACUGCUGUACACACUAGAGAGAUGAUGGAGAUGUCCUCACCCAAUCCAUAUUACCUGUCUGGUUUCCCCACACCUGCAACCCCUCCCCGAACUCCUAUUCAUGAAACUGCCAUCUGCAUGUAUGGUGACCUCUGUGCACAUCUCUCAUGUACAGACCUCAGUGGCUUAAGUUUUGAAAGGGAAGCUUGUUGGAAGGGAAACACAUCAAGCAGCAAUAUUUCUCAAGAAGCUGCCAGAUGGAUAUGGGUCAUGGCUAAUGCAGUAGGAUUUUUGCUUUGCAUGCAAAAAGUCCCAGGUUCCAUCCCCAGCAUCUCCAAAUAGGGUUGGGAAUGCACUUGCCUGAAACUCUGAAGAACUGCUGCCGGUCAGUGUAGACAAUAGGGAGCUAGAUAGCCUGAAGGUCCCUCUCAGUAUAAGGCAGCGUUUGAUGUUCCUAUUUUCUACAGUUCUCUCUUAUACAUUUUGGUUGUUCCCUUCCUGUUCUCCAUAGUUCCUUCCAAGGGGAAUGGGAAAAGUAAGGAUUAAGGCUGCAAUCCUUACCUACAACAAUUAGGAUGAUGACUAAUAAUAAUAAUAAUAAUAAUAAUAAUAAUAUAUUUAUACUCCACCCAUCGGCUCCCAACAGAAUAUAAAAAAACACGAUAAAACAUCAAACACUAAAAUAUUUCCUAAACAUGGUUGCCUUCAGAUGUCUUCUAAAAGUCAGAUAGUUGUUUAUUUCCUUGACAUCUGAUGGGAGGGCUUUCCACAGGGUGGGCACCACUACCAAGAAGGCCCUCUGCCUGAUUUCCUGUAACCUCAUUUCUUGCAGCGAGGGAACCACCAGAAGGCCCUCGGAGCUGGACCUCAGUGUCCAGGCUGAAUGAUGGGGGUGGAGACGCUCCUUCAGAAAGUAGUGUGGUGUCGUGACAGACUAGGACCUGGAAGAUGAGGGUUCAAAUCCCCGCUUGGCCAUGAAACUCACUGGUGACCUUCAAUCUGACUUACCUCACAGGGUUGUUGUGGAGAUUACAUGAGGAGUGGGAAGAACCAUGCACACUACCUUGAGAUCCUUGGAGAAAAAGGUGAGAUAGAAAUGCAAUUAAUUCAUUAAUGGACAAUCAAAACUGACUCUUCUUAGCUCGCAUGGUGGCAGCAUCUUAAGAGAUAUUUGGCAACGAAGAAAAGAGUCUGAAUACAGUGGUACCUCAGGUUACAUACGCUUCAGGUUACAGACUCCGCUAACCCAGAAAUAGUCCUUCAGGUUAAGAACUUUGCUUCAGGUUGAGAACAGAAAUCAUGCUCCGACGGUGCGGCGGCAGCAGGAGGCCCCAUUAGCUAAAGUGGUGCUUCAGGUUAAGAACAGUUUCAGGUUAAGAAUGGACCUCCGGAACGAAUUAAGUACUUAACCUGAGGUACCACUGUAUACACUGAAGCAGCAAUAAUCCUAAACAGAAGCCACACGGAAGGCAGGGGAACUUGUUUCUGAAUAAGCAUGCCGGAUUUAAAAGUACAUACACACAUCUCUGGUGUAUAGCGUAUUCAGAGGCAAUCCUACUGCCCCCAUCCCCCGAAUCAGUGGGAGUUUUCAGAUCACCUAUUUGGGAGGAAGAUGGCCAUGAGGUAUGUUUUACAUGUGGGGAUGGGGGGAGAGAAACAUCAAAGCGUGCGCAAGGCACAAUGUGGGACACACAUGGGCAACUCCAGAGGCCUCACCGGCAGAAACGUGUUUCCUAGAGUUUUCCAGCUUCUCCCUCCACCCCACCCACCCACCCACGAUUUCUUUUCUUCACAGGCAGCAUAGCUCAAGGCCGUAAACACACCAUUAAGGUUCUGUUCAGAGGCAAGUGAAGGAAAGAACUCUAAAGAGACUUCUCCGUUCCAACGUUUCCAUUAAGUGACUAUUGAAGAGCCACUCGGGAAAAGUUGUCAGAUCCAUUUUGUUCACGAUCCAGUAGGAAUAAACAUCAAAAUAUG